rnacentral:rRNA from 1 species
UACGUAGGCAGCGAGCGUUGUUCGGAGUUACUGGGCGUAAAGCGUGCGUAGGCGGUGUCUUAAGUUUGUUGUGAAAUCUCCCGGCUUAACCGGGAGGGUGCGGCGAAUACUGAGAUGCUGGAGUGCGGGAGAGGUAAGCGGAAUUCCUGGUGUAGCGGUGAAAUGCGUAGAUAUCAGGAGGAACACCUGCGGUGUAGACGGCUUACUGGACCGUAACUGACGCUGAGGCACGAAAGCUAGGGGAGCAAACAGG